GACCGGCGCUCCCCGAUGGGAGAUGUAGUUCGGCCCCGGCGGGGCUGCUCCGGGGGGGAUGGAGCCGCUGGGGAUGCCCGGGGGACGCGUGAGGAUGCGGUUUCAGAUCUCUGGAAUUGAAAGCCAGUGAUAUGUUUUCUGCAAAGCCUCACACCUAAUUUUGGCCUAUGGGGGGUUAAUGCAGUAGCUGAGUGAUGACUGUGCUGGCUGGACAGCCUCCCUUCUGCCCUCGCUGCUUCCCCAGGGCUGAAAAAAGCUGCUUCAGCAACAGAGACAUCCGAAAGAUCCUGCUUCCAAACCUGCGCACUCCAAAACCUACUGAUGGACAGGGCUGAUGUGUGAGAGCUCUUCCUGGUGACUGCCAGCCCUGAGAGCCCAAAGCCACUGCAGGAUGCAGCUCCAGGGGACAAGAAGUCAGCAAGCAGUGGCUGUGAGCUGACAAAUGCUUCCUAAUCAGGAAGCAAUUCCCCCCUGUGCCGCCUCUCUGCAGCAGCAGUUGGGUAGGGGUAGAAACCCUGAAGUUUUCUCCUCCUGCAGCAUUUAUGU